UACGUAGGGGGCGAGCGUUGUCCGGAUUUACUGGGCGUAAAACGCUUGUAGGCGGCCACGCCAAGUCGGACGUGAAAUCUCCCGGCUUAACUGGGAGGGGUCGUUCGAUACUGGCGGGCUCGAGGCAGGUAGGGGGAAGCGGAAUUCCCGGUGUAGUGGUGGAAUGCGUAGAUAUCGGGAGGAACACCAGUGGCGAAGGCGACUACCUGGCCUGUUCUUGACGCUGAGGCGCGAAAGCUAGGGGAGCAAACGGG
rnacentral:rRNA from 1 species